AUGCCUCUACAAAGAGCUCUAUUGAAAAAGAAUGCUGAAGAGGCGAAACAAUCUCGACAAAAUGAUCAUCUAGCUGAGCAAGUCUCUCAUGCAGAAUUUCGAGCGGCUUUCCAAGUGUAUGCCCAAAAUAUGGUGCCACAAGACAACCGUGAGGUGGACGAGGAUCUACAAGAUAUCAUAGAGGGUAUUCAUAAGAUUGUCGAUAUCAUGAGAGUUAAUCUAGUAGAGAAGGCAGGCUUAUCCACUUACCAAUUAAAGGGUAUGACACAAAUUUUGUUUGGUCAAUGGAAAGGUGGAAGUACAAGGGAUGCGGUUGUUUCAAAUUUGGUGGUCAAAUUAUGUAUAACUGCCAUGUUGAUCAAAGAAAUGGAUAUAUCGAGUUUGAUGACUCACGCCAAGCAAAUUGAGGAGGAAAAGUUAAAGGAAAAGGCUAAAGAGUCCAAGAGGGAUCAAUGGAUAGUGGUGGAUACUUUUAUUCGAGGUCAUGUGAGAGAGAGCACCAAAAUAGGUCAUGUAAUCAGAGCACAAUAUAAGGGAGUAGGUUCUAUAUUCAAAUCUCACACUCAUCACCGCAAGGGUCCUGCAAGGUUUCGUUCGCUUGAUUUUGGUGAAUGUAAUAGUUACCUCAAAGGUGUUGUUACAGACAUCAUUCAUGAUCCAGGUAGGGGUGCGCCAUUAGCACGUAUGACAUUCCAUUAUUCGUUUUGUUACAAGCAUCAAAAAGAAUUAUUCGUUGCUGCAGAAGGGAUAUAUACUGGUCAGUUUAUUUACUAUGGGAAAAAGAUAAUCUUAUGGUUGGUAAUGUCCUUGCACUCAUAUCUAUACCUAAAGGUACUGUGGUUUGUAACGUUGAGCAUAAAGUUGGUGACCGUGGUGUUUUUGCUAGAUGCUCUGGUGAUUAUGCUAUUGUUAUUAGUCACAACGCCGAUAACUUAACAACUAGGAUUAAGCUUCCAUCUGGAUCCAAGAAGAUUGUGCCCAGUGGAUGUCAAGCCAUGAUUGGUCAGGUUGCUGGUAGAGGAAGAACUGAGAAACCAAUGCUUAAAGGUGGUCAUGCAUACCACAAGUACCGGGUAAAGAGAAACUGCUGGCCAAAGGUUCGUGGUAUUGCUAUGAAUCUUAUGGAGCAUCCUCAUGGUGAUGGUAACCAUCAACAUAUUGGUCAUGCCAGUACUGUCCAUCGGGAUGCACCACCUGGUCAAAAAGUUGGUCUUAUUGCAGCAAGGAGGACUGGUCGUCUUCAUGGUCAAGCUGCUGCUACUGCUUCCAAAGCUGACAAGGCCUAAGAUAUUAGUUUUGUUACUAUUUUCCUUCUUGUUGUGUUUGGAUUUUGAGUAUUCAGCUACAAUAAUCUUUAUACUAAGUUUUGUUGGGAUCUUAUUUAGAAGUUUUAUUAAGGGACCCUUGCUUAAACAAAUUUGCCAUUUAUAAUGUGUUUAGCUUGGCUCU